AUUGAAUACUACCACCGUCAGCAACAUCAUUUUCUAGGGUUUCAUAGUGUUUUAGUGCGCCUAUAAAGGGUUUUCCCCCAUUCAUUUUCCUUAAUCAUUCUUCGAAAUUAGUUGACUAUUAUGUUUUGUAUCUCAUUACAGUUUCUCUACUAUAUAGAUUUUAUAGCAUUCCUCGGAAUUAGACUACCAAAUGUUUAGAUUGGCUUAUAAAUCUUAAAAAAAUGUUUUUUUUUUCCUUUUGGGGUUCUUGGCUAUGAUUACACCUCAUCCGCGCUUCUGAGAUUUGUCAAUGAAGCACAAAGGAUACA